UACGGUCACAUGACAUUGAAACAUCAGUUUUCAUAUGAUCACUAAAGGUAAGCAAUGUUGAGCCUGAGCAGCACCUAGAUGGGUAAGCACUUGGGAAUACCAGGUGCUGUAA